rnacentral:tRNA from 1 species
AGGAAUUUAAGUUAAUGUACCUUAAACCUAGAACCUUCAAAGUUCUCAAUGAAAGUG